AAUUUAUUUUAAUGUCUGCCUCCACGUCUAGACUGGAGGUUCUUUUUGGGCAGAAAAUGGGCCUACCAACUCUGUUGGACCAUACUCUCCCAAGUGCUUGGCACAGUGCUUGGCACAUAGUAAGGGCUCAAUAAAUACCACUGAUUGACUGAUUAAUUGGCCACUUGGGCCUUGGCUUCUCCCUCCUCAUUUCCCUUCAUUCUCUUGUCUUUCCCAUCACAUAAAAGUUCCAGUUUGAAGCCCUAGGGCCCCGUGCCCAUCUGCCCCUGCCAAGAAGUCCGGCCCCUCCCUCCUCCCUUUGCUCUGCCCAGGCCUGCCACCUAUAACAGUUUCUUUUGUUUCUUUCUCCCAACAACGUCUCUAGGAUUCCUCCUCCACCCUCCCUCUGAGCUUUCCGCAUCAAGGCCUAAAGCCCCAGGAAAACUGUACUCUCUCCCCAGUUGGUCUAAUUUCAAGGUUUCCUCAGCUUUUUCAUCUUUCAUCUCCCCACUCUCCCCACCUACAAACCCGUAUUAAAAGCACAUCUCCUCCAAGAGGCUUUCCCUGACUAAGCCUUCACCCUUCUGUGAAGCGCUUGGAUUUGAAUUUGCUCCCCUUAGUCAACCCUUCCCUCUGCCCCACAGCGCUUAUGUCCACAUUCAUAAUUUAUAUUAAUGUCCGUCUCCCCCCUCUAAACCGUAAGCUCGUAGUGGGCAGGAAAUACGUCUGUCAACUCUUGUACUGCACCCUCCCAACCACUCGGCACAGUACUCUGCACGCACUAAGCACUCAAUAAAGAUGAUUGAUUGAUUAUGUCUGCUUUUCCACUGCAGCCUGAAAUCUUGUCUGACCCCCAAAGAUGGAACAGAAGGAGAAAAGCAAAAGGAAAUUGAAGUCCCGAAGAGCUGAUCAGCCAGUUACGAUCUGCUGCACCAAGAUAUUCUUUGGAGAACAAAGUCCAUUGUCUGCUGCUACAGCUAGGAGGGGAGGAAGAAUUGUUUCCCUUCCCCUCAUUGUCUCCAAGCAGAAAGCCAACUGUGGUGGUACUUGUGCAGAAUGGAAAAUGGUGGAUGCAUGAGCAGGGAUGCUCCAGCCCAAUGAAUCAAG
rnacentral:lncRNA from 1 species